rnacentral:rRNA from 1 species
UACGUAGGGUGCAAGCGUUGUCCGGAAUUAUUGGGCGUAAAGAGCUCGUAGGCGGCUUGUCGCGUCGGCUGUGAAAACCCGGGGCUCAACUCCGGGCUUGCAUUCGAUACGGGCAGGCUAGAGUUCGGUAGGGGAGUCUGGAAUUCCUGGUGUAGCGGUGAAAUGACGCAGAUAUCAGGAGGAACACCGGUGGCGAAGGCGGGACUCUGGGCCGAUACUGACGCUGAGGAGCGAAAGCGUGGGGAGCGAACAGG